GACGAACGCUGGCGGCGUGCCUAAUACAUGCAAGUAGAACGCACAGUUUAUACCGUAGCUUGCUACACCAUAGACUGUGAGUUGCGAACGGGUGAGUAACGCGUAGGUAACCUACCUGGUAGCGGGGGAUAACUAUUGGAAACGAUAGCUAAUACCGCAUAAUAUUAAUUAUUGCAUGAUAAUUAAUUGAAAGGUGCAAUUGCACCACUACCAGAUGGACCUGCGUUGUAUUAGCUAGUAGGUGAGGUAACGGCUCACCUAGGCGACGAUACAUAGCCGACCUGAGAGGGUGAUCGGCCACACUGGGACUGAGACACGGCCCAGACUCCUACGGGAGGCAGCAGUAGGGAAUCUUCGGCAAUGGACGAAAGUCUGACCGAGCAACGCCGCGUGAGUGAAGAAGGUUUUCGGAUCGUAAAGCUCUGUUGUAAGAGAAGAACGGGUGUGAGAGUGGAAAGUUCACACUGUGACGGUAUCUUACCAGAAAGGGACGGCUAACUACGUG
rnacentral:rRNA from 1 species